rnacentral:rRNA from 1 species
UGGAGAGUUUGAUCCUGGCUCAGGACGAACGCUGGCGGCGUGCUUAACACAUGCAAGUCGAACGGUAAGGCCCUUUCGGGGGUACACGAGUGGCGAACGGGUGAGUAACACGUGGGUGACCUGCCCUGUACGUCGGGAUAAGCCUGGGAAACUGGGUCUAAUACCGGAUAUGACCUUCUCCUGCAUGGGGGUUGGUGGAAAGCUUUUGCGGUACAGGAUGGGCCCGCGGCCUAUCAGCUUGUUGGUGGGGUAAUGGCCUACCAAGGCGACGACGGGUAGCCGGCCUGAGAGGGCGACCGGCCACACUGGGACUGAGACACGGCCCAGACUCCUACGGGAGGCAGCAGUGGGGAAUAUUGCACAAUGGGCGCAAGCCUGAUGCAGCGACGCCGCGUGAGGGAUGACGGCCUUCGGGUUGUAAACCUCUUUCAGUAGGGACGAAGCGCAAGUGACGGUACCUACAGAAGAAGCACCGGCCAACUACGUGCCAGCAGCCGCGGUA